rnacentral:rRNA from 1 species
GACGAACGCUGGCGGCGCGCUUAACACAUGCAAGUCGAGCGAGAACCGGGGCUUCGGCCCCGGGGACAGCGGCGAACGGGUGAGUAACACGUGGGUAACCUGCCCUCGGCACCGGGAUAGCCCGGGGAAACCCGGAUUAAUACCGGAUGGCCCCUCCGGCCUUCGGGCCGGUGGGGAAAGGUAGCUUCGGCCUCCGGCCGAGGAUGGGCCCGCGGCGGAUUAGCUUGUUGGCGGGGUAACGGCCCACCAAGGCACCGAUCCGGAGCUGGUCUGAGAGGACGAUCAGCCACACUGGGAAUGAGACACGGCCCAGACGCCUACGGGAGGCAGCAGUGGGGAAUCUUGCACAAUGGGCGAAAGCCUGAUGCAGCGACGCCGCGUGCGGGAAGACGGCCCUCGGGUUGUAAACCGCUUUCAGGAGGGACGAAGCCACUCGGGUGAAUAGCCCAGAGGGUGACGGUACCUCCAGAAGAAGCCCCGGCUAACUACGUGCCAGCCGCCGCGGUAAUAC